AUAGACUAUGUACCCAUGUCGGCUACCCGGUCGAUUUUCACAAAAUAUGACGUUACAAAACUACGGCGAAAAAACUGUUAUUGAGUAUGCGUAGAGAAAAUCAAAAUACUGACCUUCUCAAUGCACCGGCUAGACCGAAAGUUCGAAAGAGAAAGUUUCUAUGUAGUUUAGCUCCUGGCUCAAGUUUUUUGGUAGAAAAGUUGUUUAAAAAGAAAAAAAA